rnacentral:misc_RNA from 1 species
CGUUCUACUAGGCUUUCAAGGCUAAAGGCCGCUGCUAUUUCUCUGUCAGCCAGACAUGCGGAUGGCUCAUUACCUGUUGAAGAUUUCAAUCUGGAGCUCGAAAAUCAGAGUGGACAAAAGGUGCAACUGGGAUCUGAGACUGACCAGAGGGCAAUAAUGAUGGGCCUCAUGCUUCACGCAAAUGCAAAAGCCUUGAUGAGGAAGAAAAAGUACAAGGAAGCACUAGAAGUGCUGACCAUGGGAGAGGAAGCUUUCUCUCUCUGCGACCAGAAACUCAUCGAGAUGGUUGACAAUGUACCCAUUCUG